CAGUAGCCGCGGGAAUACGUAGGGUGCAAGCGUUAAUCGGAAUUACUGGGCGUAAAGGGCCCGCAGGCGGUUUCUUAAGUCUGAUGUGAAAGCCCCCGGCUCAACCGGGGAGGGUCAUUGGAAACUGGGAAACUUGAGUGCAGAAGAGGAGAGUGGAAUUCCACGUGUAGCGGUGAAAUGCGUAGAGAUGUGGAGGAACACCAGUGGCGAAGGCGACUCUCUGGUCUGUAACUGACGCUGAGGAGCGAAAGCGUGGGGAGCGAACAGGAUUAGAUACCCGGGUAGUCCCUGUCUCUUAUAC
rnacentral:rRNA from 1 species